AGCAGCCGCGGUAAUUCCAGCUCCAAUAGCGUAUAUUAAAGUUGUUGCAGUUAAAAAGCUCGUAGUUGAAUUUCGGGAUCAGUUGGUCGGUCGUGCCUCGGUACGUACUGGUCAAAUUGAUUCCUACCUUCUGACGAACCACGAUGUCAUUAAUUUGGUGUCGCGGGAAAUCAGGACUGUUACUUUGAAAAAAUUAGAGCGUUUAAAGCAGGCUCGCGCUUGAAUACAUUAGCAUGGAAUAAUGAAAUAGGACGUUUGAUUCUAUUUUGUUGGUUUCUAGGAUCGACGUAAUGAUUAAUAGGGAUAGUUGGGGGCAUUAGUAUUCAAUUGUCAGAGGUGAAAUUCUUGGAUUUAUUGAAGACUAACUACUGCGAAAGCAUUUGCCAAGGAUGUUUUCAUUAAUCAAGAACGAAAGUUAGGGGAUCGAAGACGAUCAGAUACCGUCGUAGUCUUAACCAUAAACUAUGCCGACUAGGGAUCGGAUGAUGUUAAUUUUUUAAUGACUCAUUCGGCGCCUUAC
rnacentral:misc_RNA from 1 species